GGAUGAAGAACGCAGCGAAAUGCGAUAAGUAAUGUGAAUUGCAGAAUUCAGUGAAUCAUCGAAUCUUUGAACGCACAUUGCGCCCGUCAGUAUUCUGGCGGGCAUGCCUGUUCGAGCGUCAUUACGCCCCUCAAGUCCCCUGUGGACUUGGUGUUGGGGAUCGGCGAGGCUGGUUUUCCAGCACAGCCGUCCCUUAAAUUAAUUGGCGGUCUCGCCGUGGCCCUCCUCUGCGCAGUAGUAAAACACUCGCAACAGGAGCCCGGCGCGGUCCACUGCCGUAAAACCCCCCAACUUUUUAUAGUUGACCUCGAAUCAGGUAGGACUACCCGCUGAACUUAAGCAUAUCAAUAAGCGGAGGA
rnacentral:misc_RNA from 1 species